CCACGUUGAAAGCACGCCAUCCCGUCCGAUCUGGCAAGUUAAGCAACGUUGGGCCUGGUUAGUACUUGGAUCGGAGACGGCUUGGGAAUCCCAGGU
rnacentral:rRNA from 1 species